rnacentral:rRNA from 1 species
GGGGAAUAUUGCGCAAUGGGGGAAACCCUGACGCAGCAAUACCGCGUGAGUGAAGAAGGUUUUCGGAUCGUAAAGCUCUGUUAUUGGGGAAGAAAAAAAGACGGUACCCAAGAAGAAAGUCCCGGCUAACUACGUGCCAGCAGCCGCGGUAAUACGUAGGGGACAAGCGUUGUCCGGAUUUACUGGGCGUAAAGGGCGUGUAGCCGGGAAGGUAAGUCAGAUGUGAAAGGUACCGGCUCAACCGGUGACAUGCAUUUGAAACUGAAAGACUUGAGUAUUGGAGAGGCAAGUGGAAUUCCUAGUGUAGCGGUGAAAUGCGUAGAUAUUAGGAGGAACACCGGUGGCGAAGGUGGCUUGCUGGACAAAUACUGACGCUGAGGUGCGAAAGCGUGGGGAGCAAACA